rnacentral:tRNA from 1 species
CGGCGUGUAGCUCAAUGGGAGAGCUGGCAGUUUAUAACUGCCCGACCGUGGUUCGAAUCCACGCACGCCGA